ensembl:lncRNA
AUGUUUCAGUUGAAAUUGUGCAAACAUAUUACAGUUACCACCAAGCACUCCUUAUUUCACUGAGGUAAUAAUUCAUAUGUGUGACAUGUACUGAAAUCAGUAUAACCGCAUUAUCUUUUCUUUUCUGUGCCCUUACUAUGCGAUGUUCAUCCUGAGCUUCCAAUUGGCAUACAACUGCAGAACAAGUGUACAACUGGAGACGGUAUGUUCUAAGACUGUCUAUCUAAAUGAAUAAUACUUAUAACGAAUCAUCAGUUGAAUCUGUACAGAUGUUCCAUGUUAUCAAUAAAGUAAUAUCUGAAGGUAAUCCAUUUUAUCUAUGCAACACACUGAAAUGAGACUUGUAUCACUGUAUUGUCUGUUCUGUUUUUGUGUCCAUACCAUGUGAGCACUAUCCUGAGAUUCCAAGAUGGUCAGUGUCCAGUCGAUCCAGCCUCGAAUUCAAACAAGUGAUCAUCAUUCACAAUCCUACAUCUCCCAUAAUUGCUCUUCUUUCUUGAGCUAAUUUCUGCAAUACGCUACAUGUGAAACUUCCUCCUUAUCCUAUAUUUGAUUCUCUAAGCCAUGAAAGUUUUUAUGAAGCAGCACAAAACCAAUAAAAAGGUUUGUGCAUCAAAACCCAAUAUCUACUGUCAACUACUAUCAAAAGAUUUCUGCAAUAUGCUACACUUCAAAGAUCCUUCUCCAUUAUGAUUCUCC